UCUUACACAAUGGGCGCAAGCCUGAUGCAGCCAUGCCGCGUGAGCGAUGAAGGCCUUAGGGACAUAAAGAUAUUUCAGGGGGGAAGAUAAUGACUGUACCCCCAAAAGAAGCCCCGGCUAACUCCGUGCCAGCAGCCGCGGUAAUACGGAGGGGGCAAGCGUUGUUCGGAAUUAUUGGGCGUAAAGCGCAAGUAGGCGGACGGAGAAGUCAGAGGUGAAAUCCCAGGGCUCAACCUUGGAACUCCCUUUAAACUUUCUGUCUUGAGUUCGAGAGAGGUGAGUGGAAUUCCGAGUGUAGAGGUGAAAUUCGUAGAUAUUCGGAGGAACACCAGGGCGAAGGCGGCUCCCUGACUCGAUACUGACAGCUGAGCUGCGAAA
rnacentral:rRNA from 1 species